GAAAGCGCCUACAAAUUGCCCCUCUUCCAUCUCUCUAAGGCGCGCGCCCAGCCCAGAGCGGGCCGGGGCACAGGGCGCAGGCGGGAGGUCGCAUCUGCAGCUUUGGCGCAAUGAAUCAGGCACGGCCGCCGCCGCCGAGCGCGUCUGGCAUCCGGAGUCUCCCGGGAUCGAAAAUAAUUUGGGCAAAGCGGUGGGAGAUUCGUCUAAUGCCAACGCCGUGACCUCAGUUUCCCCACAUUUCCAAGACAGCCGGUGGGUUUUGGGGGAGCAGCUUUCUUGUCAGAAACCUUAGGUCGGGGACACUGCUUUGGGCCUUUGGCAAUUAAGAAACUGCAGGCGUCAGAACCAACUCUCCCAAUCUAGUGUCCCUCAUCAAAAUGGCCGGGUUCCUGUUUUUGCCUCUGAUGACAGAAAUGUCACUGCUGCAGCAUUAAGCACGCUCGGCGGGAACUUGGUUUGGAGCGAGAAGCUGGCGCCCAGCCCUGCCGAGCUGCAUGCUGUAAUUGGGAGGGGGUAGGCUGGCUGGCCAGCCGGCCUGGCUGAGGUCAGCCAGCCUUUGUCUUCGCACCUUCCUGCCGGUCAGCCUGCCACUGUCCACUCCGAAAACCGAGCAGG
rnacentral:lncRNA from 1 species